rnacentral:rRNA from 1 species
CAGCCGCGCGGUAAUACGAAGGGUGCAAGCGUUAAUCGGAAUUACGGGGCGUAAAGCGUGCGUAGGCGGUGAGUUAAGUCUGCUGUGAAAUCCCCGGGCUCAACCUGGGAAUGGCAGUGGAUACUGGCUCGCUAGAGUGUGUCAGAGGAUGGUGGAAUUCCCGGUGUAGCGGUGAAAUGCGUAGAGAUCGGGAGGAACAUCAGUGGCGAAGGCGGCCAUCUGGGACAACACUGACGCUGAGGCACGAAAGCGUGGGGAGCAAACAGGAUUAGAUACCCCAGUAGUCCCUGUCUCUUAUACA